rnacentral:rRNA from 1 species
UACGGAGGGGGCAAGCGUUGUUCGGAAUUACUGGGCGUAAAGAGCGCGCAGGCGGCUUGACAAGUCGGGUGUGAAAUCCCGGGGCUCAACCCCGGGACUGCAUUCGAUACUGUCAGGCUAGAGGUAGGUAGGGGAGAUCGGAAUUCCUGGAUGUAGCGGUGAAAUGCGUAGAUAUCAGGAAGAACACCGGUGGCGAAAGCGCUCUGCUAGGCCGCAACUGACACUGAGGGACGAAAGGCUAGGGGAGCGAAUGGG